rnacentral:rRNA from 1 species
CGGCGGCCACCGCUAUAGGAAUUCGAUUAAGACAUGCGAGUCGAGAGUCGUAAUGGACUCGGCGGACUGCUCAGUAACACGUGGAUAACGUGCCCUUAAGUGGAGGAUAAUCUCGGGAAAUUGAGGAUAAUACUCCAUAGACUACGAAAUCUGGAAUGAUUCAUAGUUGAAAGUUCCGGCGCUUAAGGAUCGGUCUGCGGCCUAUCAGGUUGUAGUGGGUGUAACGUACCUACUAGCCUAUGACGGGUAUGGGCCUUGAGAGAGGGAGCCCAGAGUUGGAUUCUGAGACACGAAUCCAGGCCCUACGGGGCGCAGCAGUCGCGAAAACUUCACAAUGGGGGCAACCCCGAUGAGGGAAUUCCUAGUGCUAGCACGAUUGUGUUAGCUUUUCUCUAGCGUAGAUAACU